UGCACAAGUUGGGGCGGGUGCUGGUUCAUGUCUGGGCAUGGAAAGAGGGAGAUGGGUGACGACCACAAUGCAGCCAGGUUCCGCGGCUUCCUAAGGAAGGCGGCCCCCAUGUGUGUGCCAGGACGCCCGGCAGGCGGUGGCGGGGGUUACCCCAGCGCAGCUGCCGCCAGUGCAUGCUCCGAGCCUGGCAGCGCAGCGCGGUCCAACCUCCGUGUGCCGGGAGCCUCGCGAGCUGUACAUCCGGGUCUUGGGGCGGCAGCCGGGGCGCGGGCUCUGCACCCACCGGCUGGCCCUGGAGGUGAAAUGCGGGACCCCGUCCCCAAUUCCCGGGAGCUCCAGCAUCCCUCACACCUGCGGUCAACACCCCCAGGAACCCGCACUAACCGGAACUUCCCCCUGCUCAAGAUCUCUCCUUGGGCCCCCGCCGCCGCCGUCCCUGCGCUCGCGGGUAGCGGAGCUCAAACUUUCCACCUGUUCCAGACGAGAAAACUGAGGUUUUGAGUCGUUAAGUGAGUUGCCAAACAUCUAGGAGAACAAGUGCAUAAAAAGAUACGCACCUGAAUAUGCAGACCCAGGGAAGACCUGAAGUUACGUCCGAAGGCCAUCUGCUGGCAGAAUUCCUCCUCGCCUGGAGAGUGAAUUUAGGGGAAGAUUCGCUAAAGGGGGUUCGCUUGCGCUGAUGAGAAUAUCAUUCAUCGAUGUAAGAAAUACUGAGCGUCUACCAGGCGUUGAGCCGGGCUCUUCAUAAAGAAUAAAGAUAAGUGAAUUGUUUGCCGAAUUUCACUCCCUUGAGCCAAAGAUCUGAAAUACAACUGUUUUUUAAGGUCAGAUUAGGACAGAAAUGCAAAAUAGUUUUCCUGCGCCACCUCCUGGAGAGGAGAUGAAAUAGAAAGUGAGAUUGUGCAGGAAAAGCGUUUAGCCCCGUGUCUGAGACAUGGUAAACCAGCCUCUGAAAUAAAUGUUGUAUUAAUAGCAAUGACAGCUAACUAAAAUGGAUGACGUGUAUUGAGGACUGUGGCAGGCAUGGCGCUAAUCCCUUUACGUAUGUAUAGUUAAUUUUACUCUCCCCCUAACAGUGAGGUAGUACUGGCUGAUUAUUGUAUCCCCAUUGUACAGAUGAGGAAACUGAGACACAGAGAAAUCCGCGUAACUAGGGGUAACACGUAAAGCGGUGAAACGAGUAAGGUGUUUCGUCUACUUAUGUGUCCACCUACAGCAUAGGUAUAAAUGCACCAAAUAACAAUGCCCGGUGCAUAGUGGACGCUCAGUCUGUCGUUGCGAAAAUAAUGAGUGACGAAUACCCGCUUUUUUAAAAAAGUCUUUCAUUUGAAAUAAUCAUAGAUAGUUUCCAAAAUGGUACCGAGAGGUCAGGAGUAGCCUUCCCCCACCUUCUCCCAAUAGCGUCAUCUUUACACAAUACCAAAACCAGAAAAUUGACUUUGGAGCAAUCCACAUUGUCGCAUGCUUUCAACAGACGUGCUUGACAUUUUUCCAGCUAAUAUUGGUCGCUGUGAUUGAUAUCCUCAGCUAAAACGAGGCCCUUUGUGCACCCGAGUAUCGCAUCCCGGAGGCGUGCACCCGCCUCGGGGCCGACCACGGUCCUUGGGAUCCA